rnacentral:rRNA from 1 species
CAGAAAGGGACGGCUAACUACGUGCCAGCAGCCGCGGUAAUACGUAGGUCCCGAGCGUUGUCCGGAUUUAUUGGGCGUAAAGCGAGCGCAGGCGGUUAGAAAAGUCUGAAGUGAAAGGCAGUGGCUCAACCAUUGUAGGCUUUGGAAACUGUUUAACUUGAGUGCAGAAGGGGAGAGUGGAAUUCCAUGUGUAGCGGUGAAAUGCGUAGAUAUAUGGAGGAACACCGGUGGCGAAAGCGGCUCUCUGGUCUGUAACUGACGCUGAGGCUCGAAAGCGUGGGGAGCGAACAGGAUUAGAUACCCUGGUAGUCCACGCCGUAAACGAUGAGUGCUAGGUGUUAGGUCCUUUCCGGGACUUAGUGCCGCAGCUAACGCAUUAAGCACUCCGCCUGGGGAGUACGACCGCAAGGUUGAAACUCAAAGGAAUUGACGGGGGCCCGCACAAGCGGUGGAGCAUGUGGUUUAAUUCGAAGCAACGCGAAGAACCUUACCAGGUCUUGACAUCCCAGUGACCGCCCUAGAGAUAGGGUUUCCCUUCGGGGCACUGGUGACAGGUGGUGCAUGGUUGUCGUCAGCUCGUGUCGUGAGAUGUUGGGUUAAGUCCCGCAACGAGCGCAACCCUUAUUGUUAGUUGCCAUCAUUGAGUUGGGCACUCUAGCGAGACUGCCGGUAAUAAACCGGAGGAAGGUGGGGAUGACGUCAAAUCAUCAUGCCCCUUAUGACCUGGGCUACACACGUGCUACAAUGGCUGGUACAACGAGUCGCAAGCCGGUGACGGCAAGCUAAUCUCUGAAAGCCAGUCUCAGUUCGGAUUGUAGGCUGCAACUCGCCUACAUGAAGUCGGAAUCGCUAGUAAUCGCGGAUCAGCACGCCGCGGUGAAUACGUUCCCGGGCCUUGUACACACCGCCCGUCACACCACGAGAGUUUGUAACACCCGAAGUCGGUGAGGUAACCGUAAGGAGCCAG